GAUGAACGCUAGCGAUAGGCUUAACACAUGCAAGUCGAGGGGCAGCACAAGGUAGCUUGCUAUCUGGGUGGCGACCGGCGCACGGGUGCGUAACGCGUAUGCAACUUGCCCUAUACAGGAGGAUAACCCGUCGAAAGACGGACUAAUACUGCGUAUGCUCACAACUUGGCAUCAAGUGGUGAGGAAAGAAAUUCGGUAUAGGAUAGGCAUGCGUCCCAUUAGCUUGUUGGUGAGGUAACGGCUCACCAAGGCAACGAUGGGUAGGGGAACUGAGAGGUUUAUCCCCCACACUGGUACUGAGACACGGACCAGACUCCUACGGGAGGCAGCAGUGAGGAAUAUUGGUCAAUGGGAGCGAGCCUGAACCAGCCAAGUCGCGUGAAGGAUGACUGUCUUAUGGAUUGUAAACUUCUUUUAUACGGGAAUAACAAGAGUCACGUGUGACUCCCUGCAUGUACCGUAUGAAUAAGCAUCGGCUAACUCCGUG
rnacentral:rRNA from 1 species